GGGGCGGGGGCAUGUAUGAAGCCGGGGAGAAGCGGGAACGUGGGAACCUAGAGAGCCCAUUACAAAGAUGGCCUAAUUCCACAUGAUAAGUCUCCAAACCCAGGGGGAAUCCGUGCUCGAGGGGAUGCCCAAAAGUGGGAUGGCUGGGUCGGGAGUGGGAGAUCCGGAUGGCCAAUGGGGUAAUACCGAAAUCCCCACAUCAUACGCAGGCUGUUCCCCAAUUCUGUAUGCAGAGGUCUCAAUUUACCCUUUUAGCAAAAAUGGGCUGUAUCCAGUUCAGAGAGGGAGUUCACAUGUAGUAUGACAAGGUGAGGAGGAGGGGGACUGGAGGAACCAGGAGC